GACGAACCGAGCGAACGUUGUUCGGAAUCACUGGGCUUAAAGGGCGCGUAGGCGGGCUGCCGCGUCCGGGGUGAAAUCCCACGGCUCAACCGUGGAACGGCCCCGGGUACGGGCGGCCUCGAGGGGGGUAGGGGCGUGCGGAACUGUGGGUGGAGCGGUGAAAUGCGUAGAGAUCGGGAGGAACACCAAAGGCGAAAGCACUCUGCUGGGCCGCAACUGACACUGAGAGACGAAAGCGAGGGGAGCAAAUGGG
rnacentral:rRNA from 1 species